AUUGAACGCUGGCGGCAGGCCUUACACAUGCAAGUCGAGCGGAUGAAGGGAGCUUGCUCCUGGAUUCAGCGGCGGACGGGUGAGUAAUGCCUAGGAAUCUGCCUGGUAGUGGGGGAUAACGUCCGGAAACGGGCGCUAAUACCGCAUACGUCCUGAGGGUGAAAGUGGGGGAUCUUCGGACCUCACGCGAUCAGAUGAGCCUAGGUCGGAUUAGCUAGUUGGUGGGGUAAAGGCCUACCAAGGCGACGAUCCGUAACUGGUCUGAGAGGAUGAUCAGUCACACUGGAACUGAGACACGGUCCAGACUCCUACGGGAGGCAGCAGUGGGGAAUAUUGGACAAUGGGCGAAAGCCUGAUCCAGCAAUGCCGCGUGUGUGAAGAAGGUCUUCGGAUUGUAAAGCACUUUAAGUUGGGAGGAAGGGCAGUAAGUUAAUACCUUGCUGUUUUGACGUUACCAACAGAAUAAGCACCGGCUAACUUCGUG
rnacentral:rRNA from 1 species